GAUGAACGCUGGCGGCGUGCCUAAUACAUGCAAGUCGAGCGAACAGAUAAGGAGCUUGCUCCUUUGACGUUAGCGGCGGACGGGUGAGUAACACGUGGAUAACCUACCUAUAAGACUGGGAUAACUUCGGGAAACCGGAGCUAAUACCGGAUAAGAUUUUGAACCGCAUGGUUCAAUAGUGAAAGACGGCCUUGCUGUCACUUAUAGAUGGACCCGCGCCGUAUUAGCUAGUUGGUAAGGUAACGGCUUACCAAGGCAACGAUACGUAGCCGACCUGAGAGGGUGAUCGGCCACACUGGAACUGAGACACGGUCCAGACUCCUACGGGAGGCAGCAGUAGGGAAUCUUCCGCAAUGGGCGAAAGCCUGACGGAGCAACGCCGCGUGAGUGAUGAAGGUCUUCGGAUCGUAAAACUCUGUUAUCAGGGAAGAACAAACGUGUAAGUAACUGUGCACGUCUUGACGGUACCUGAUCAGAAAGCCACGGCUAACUACGUG
rnacentral:rRNA from 1 species